AAGGUAUCACUCUGUAACCUAGGCUGGUUUGGAACUCAUUGUGUAGUCCAGUGUGACUCUGAAAUUAGAGUAAUCAUGUUGCCAUGAGGAUAGUGUUUCACACCACUCCAUGUCUCUUAUAUUUUUCUUUCUCUUCCACUAUGUUCCCUGAGCCUUGGAGGGCGUGGUAUAGACAUUCCAUCUGUGGCUGAGCACUCUACAAUCUCUUAUUCUCACCACUUGUGAGCCUUUGCCGACUUCAAAGAGAAGAUCCUCUGACCCAGGCUGAGAGCUGCCCUAAUCUAUGGGUAUAAACAUAAAUAUUUAGAAGGCAGUAUGACGUCAUGUCCAUUUAGCAUUUACUAGGAAGGUCCCGCCCCAGUGCUAAUGAGCUUCCUGGGCAUGCACGUCUGUUCAGGUUUGUAGUACUGGGAGUGAGUUUUCUGGUGUAGUGGCCUCAACUCCAGUUAGAAGGUCUUGGUUACCGCCUUAAUAGUCAUGCCACUGUUGGGCCAGUGGGUGUGUCUCUACUGGCAGUUUUUAAUUGUAUACAGUUUGUAGAGUUCCCAGCUGGUUACGGCAGUUAAUGUCUUUCUCUUCCAGCAGCCUACAUAGCGUUUUCCAGCUCUAGGAAAGCUAACUCUCAGGAGGGGGCUUCCAGUCUAGUUCCACCUUGUUUCUGAAGAACUUCUUAUAGUAUACGUAGUUCUGGCUUGAUCUUUACUUUGUUUGUUUGUUUGCUGUUUGAGACAGGAUUUCAUGUAGACCAUGCUGGCCUUGAACUCACCCUAUACCACAGGAUGAACCUGAACUUCUAAUCUUCCCACCUCUACCUCUUAAGUACUGGGGUUGCAGGUGUGUGCCACACCCAGUUCCUGGGGUGCUGAAGAUGGAUCUGAGCCACUGCUCUGCCAGCUGUGUCACUGCCCUAGCGUCUGGCUCGGACUGUCUUUAAACCUCACUCCAGGCUUGCGGGAUGACUGGAAGGCUAAGAUCACUUACUACUGUCUGAGAAGUCAGCUUUUAGCAGGAUGAGGUAGCUCAGGCCUUUAUUAAUCGGAGCACUCAGAAGACAAAGGCAGGUGGAGCUCUGGGAGUUGGAGGCUAGCUGCUCUACAGAGUGAGCUCCUGAACAGCCAGGGCUACAGGAGUGAAACCCCGACUUACAAACUUUAAAAGGGGGAAAAGAAACAAAAUGAAAGAAAAAAGAACUGAGCUUCUUGCACUGGCAUAGAAUGCCUCCCAACCACCUGUACUGUGAGUUCCUAACUGACUUUUUCCGGCAAAUGGCACCUACGCUCAAUUACACCCACUGUGUAUGCCACACAAACAUAGUAUUAAAUCAUGUCUAAAUAGAAAUAAAAUCAGUCUUUAAAAAAGUCUCCCUCGUUACUUUGGGAAUGUUUAGAAAAAAGAAAUCUGUUUUUUUUCCCCCUCAAUUUUCUUUCUCAUUUAGAAAAUGAUUUCUCUUUAUUUAUGUAUAUUGAUGUUCUGCUUAUGUGUAUGUAUGUGUGAAGGUGUCUGAUCCCUAAGAACUGGAGUUACAGAUAAUUGUGAGCUGCCAUGUGUGUGCUGGGAAUUGAACCCAGAUGCUCUGGAAGAGCAGCCAGUGCUCUUAAGCACUGGGCCUCUCUCUCUCCAGCUUCCUCAGUUUGUAAUGGGAGGGGAGCAGGAAGAGCAUCAGGAUAGUUGAGUUGGUGCUGGGUUACCUACAGAGAAGGGAGUGGAAGGCCAUCAGCCUGACAGUGUUAAGGAGGGAGGGGGUGACGUGGCCGAUGCUGUAGUGCCAGCAGGCAGAGCGCUGCGGAUUCAAGAGUUCCAGUUCCUCCUGGCUAUAUAGUGAGACCGUUGAACCUUUUCACCCUCCUUAAAGAGGUUGCAGGAGUUCAGUUUAGUGACCUUGAUUUCUCACCUUGGGCCUGGCAUGUCACCUUCGUGUGAUAAGUAGUACUGCAGUUACAUACUGGGUAGCUUCUUGUGGAGUUUAGGAAACUGCUGAAAAAAAAAAAUCACAGUUUCUGUACCGUGGCCUCUUUAUCUCUGUAAAACAUUAGACAUUCCUAAACUAUGAACUAGAGCAUUCUCUUGGACUCCACUAAUGUCUUUCUCCUGCACAGCCAACUUCAGGGUUCCCUUAGAGACCUUUAGUGAAGUCUGGAGAAGAGAGCCAUUGGAAGCGCCAUGCUUUUUGUGAUUCCAUUCUUGUUUUCGUUUUGAUUGGAAAGUUCUAGAGUGCUUCCAUGAAGUUCCAUUAAUUCUAAAAAACGAAAAACAACCAACCAACCCCCCCCCCAAGCUCUUAUAUUUACAAGUAUAGUUUUGCAUUUCUCCUUUUCUUUAAAACAACAGAGGUUCUGAUGAACCUUCAGACUUGCCUUAGUAAACCUAACCUUGGAUUUCAGAAUUACUAAAGGAGAAAAAUAAAUCAAGUAGGUUUGUUUGGGACCCUUGGUCUCCACCCUGCAGUUAAGUGCCACUGAAAAUAACCCUGGAAUAAAGAGUUUUUUAUGUGGCAAGUCUUCCUUCUUGAGUUUUCUCUGGGCAGAGAACGGGCUCCUUUUCUUGCAGAUGUUCGUUUUUCUCAAUGCUCGUCUUAACGGAGAGGCUUUGCACCUCAGUGAGCAGUGCGUCAGGAGAAGUUAGCUGGCUCCUGUUGAUUUGUUGCCCCGAGAUUUACUGUGCUUGCAAAGCACCUGUCCGCACUGGAGUUAUGCUGCCUGGCCGGCCGGCCGGCCGGCUUUUACACUUGGUUCCAGGAGAGGCAGCUACCUGUUGGAACACAAGAGAAAGAGAAAGAGGAGCCAGCAAAUCUCUAUCUGCUUUCACAGAAGAGGCUUUCCAAUUAGAAAGCUUUCGUAGGCUUAACCUUCUUGCCCUAAAGUAACCCAGUGUUUCAUUAUGGAUUCUGCUGAGGUUUUGGGGCUCAGUGCCAGGAGGGAGAGGACUAAGAAGGAAUGUGAAGGGAACAUUCAGAGGAUGGAGCCCAGCGUCCACAAAGUGCUGCUUCAUAGACUUGCUCCAAAAAUAACGUGCUCACCGUAGGGGAGCCAGAAGAGAGGUGCGGUCGCUGCACUUUUGGGCAGUGUCAGGGGCUGGGGUGUUGCUCCAGUGUGAUUAGAGCUAUGUUUCAGAUGAUGUCAUUUAAAAUUUUAUGUUUGGAGAACAUUGUCUUUGGAAAUUAAGGGGGAGAAAAAGGUCUAUUUGGUUUUAUUUUAUUUGUAUAAGUGUUUGUAUGUCUGUGCAUCCACUUGCAUUCUGUUGCCUAUCGGAGACGAGAAGAGGUUGUCUGAUGCUCUGAAUCUGCAGUUAGAGGUGGCUGUGAGCCAUCAUGUGGAUGCUAGGACCUGAACUGUGGUCCUCCGAAAGUGCAGCUGGUGCUCUUAACUACUAAGCAGGUUUUUUAAUCCCUGCCUCUGGAAAUGUUAUUUACCCCCAUGCAAAAGCUAUUCAGCAAAGUUUAGAGGACUAUCCUUCCAGAUUGGAGGAAGUUCAUCUCUCCGAACAGGGGCAGUGCUCUGCAUGGUAGUCACUUAAUCCUUGAAGUUCAGGUUAAGAGCUUGCUUCGAUCUUGUAGGCCUUGAGCGAUUAGGAUUUGAUUUAGAAAAGUUAGCAUUGGAUGUAACCGCUCCAUGCCCUGAAGGUAGGAAGUGUUAUAGUUCAGAGGCCCCUUCUAAGUAAGCUUAGAGUUAUAAAUAACAUUGAGUGUGGAAAUGCCUUGCACACAGACUCAUAAUUAGCAAGUCAGGAAGUUUGACUAGAAGGAAUAAAUUAACCUCAGUUGCUGAUGGAGUGAGAUCAUGGAGGGAGCAUAGCUGUUAAGUGUCAUGUUCAAGCUGGCCCAGGAAGUGACUUGUCAGACUUGCUGGCCACCUCAUGCUGCCUUGGCCUAUCGGCAUUUAGUAUGUAGUAGAAGAAAUGAUGUUGCUUCACCAUUUAUAGAAAAUAAGGGUUCCAAGUGGCAGUGGCUGAGAGAAGCCCUCCAGGUUGCCUCCCAGAGGCAGUGGAUCUCAUAACUGUCUUCAAGAGUGUUGAUUUUUUUCCUUUUUCUUAAAAAC
rnacentral:lncRNA from 1 species